rnacentral:rRNA from 2 species
UGGGGAAUUUUGCACAAUGGGGGAAACCCUGAUGCAGCGACGCCGCGUGAUUUAGAAGGCCUUCGGGUUGUAAAAAUCUUUUCUAUGGGAAGAAAAUGACAGUACCAUAGGAAUAAGGACCGGCUAAUUACGUGCCAGCAGCCGCGGUAAUACGUAAGGUCCGAGCGUUGUCCGGAAUCAUUGGGCGUAAAGGGUACGUAGGCGGGUAAGCAAGUUAGAAGUGAAAUCCUAUAGCUCAACUAUAGUAAGCUUUUAAAACUGCUCAUCUUGAGGUAUGGAAGGGAAAGUGGAAUUCCUAGUGUAGCGGUGAAAUUCGCAGAUAUUAGGAGGAAUACCGGUGGCGAAGGCGACUUUCUGGCCAUAACCUGACGCUGAGGUACGAAAGCGUGGGUAGCAAACAGG